rnacentral:rRNA from 1 species
UACGAAGGGUGCAAGCGUUACUCGGAAUUACUGGGCGUAAAGGGUGCGUAGGCGGUUCCGCAAGUCCUGUGUGAAAUCUUCGGGCUCAACUCGAAGUCUGCACGGGAAACUGCGGGGCUUGAGUGUGGGAGAGGUGAGUGGAAUUCCCGGUGUAGCGGUGAAAAUGCGUAGAUAUCGGGGAGGAACACCUGUGGCGAAAAGCGGCUCACUGGACCAUAACUGACGCUGAUGCACGAAAGCUGGGGGGAGCAAACAGG